rnacentral:rRNA from 1 species
GACGAACGCUGGCGGCGUGCCUAAUACAUGCAAGUCGAACGGUCUUUUCUAUGGAAGCUUGCUUCCGCUGAGAAGAUAGUGGCGAACGGGUGAGUAACACGUGGGUAACCUGCCCAUCAGAGGGGGAUAACAUCCGGAAACGGGUGCUAAUACCUCAUAGUUUUCUUGAUCGCAUGAUUGAGAAAGGAAAGACGGCCUUUGUGCUGUCGCUUAUGGAUGGACCCGAGGCGUAUUGGUUAGUUGGUGAGGUAACGGCUCACCAAGACGAUGAUACGUAGCCGACCUGAGAGGGUGAUCGGCCACAUUGGGACUGAGACACGGCCCAAACUCCUACGGGAGGCAGCAGUAGGGAAUCUUCCGCAAUGGACGAAAGUCUGACGGAGCAACGCCGCGUGAGUGAAGAAGGUUUUCGGAUCGUAAAACUCUGUUGUCAGAGAAGAACAAGUCGGAGAGUAACUGCUCCGGCCUUGACGGUAUCUGACCAGAAAGCCACGGCUGACUACGUGCCAGCCGCCGCGGUAAGAC